CGAAGGAAAAAAUUUCUGUUCCCAUGGUUACACAUGUGCAAAGAUUUGGAUACAGUCAGUGACGUUGAAGAGGAUAUUCCGGAUACCACGGAUCCGUAUAUGUCUCACGAAUUAGAUGCGAUCACAUAUCGAUUUUUAUAACUCGAGUGACAGAAAGAAACUAGAGAAGAAGCAAACUCUUAAUCGCAUGAAAGCAUUAUAACUACAGCGAGCACAGAAAGUACAAAACAGUAUUUAUAAAAAUACAUAUUGUAGAUAUUUUC
rnacentral:misc_RNA from 1 species